rnacentral:tRNA from 1 species
AAGGGAGACCUAAUUCAGGUAGGAGACGAAAAAAAAGUAGUCCCUACCAAGAAUCAAUCCCAAAAGGUCGGAGCGAGGCAAAAUUGGCUUUCAAACUAGGUUCUGGGUUCACACAAGACCUGAAUCAGGAACAAGGGCUAUUAGCUCAGGUGGUUAGAGCGCACCCCUGAUAAGGGUGAGGUCCCUGGUUCGAGUCCAGGAUGGCCCACCUGUACAGGUGGCAAAAACAAAGAAAAGAAGCGAGGAAUCAGCACCUUAUCUUACUUAUAUAGUAAGAGAGAAUGCUGGCUCUGAGUACAGAGUCCAGAGGAACCUUGAAAACUGCAUAGAGCUAGGUGAAAAAGCCAAAAAAGAAGACCACAA